UACGUAGGGGGCUAGCGUUGUCCGGAAUCAUUGGGCGUAAAGCGCGCGUAGGCGGCCAGAUAAGUCCGGUGUGAAAGUCACAGGCUCAACCUGUGAAUGCCGCUGGAAACUGUCUGGCUAGAGUCCGGAAGGGGCGAGUGGAAUUCCUGGUGGUAGCGGUGAAAUGCGCAGAUAUCAGGAGGAACACCAAUGGCGAAGGCAGCUCGCUGGAACGGUACUGACGCUGAGGCGCGAAGCGUGGGGAGCGAACAGG
rnacentral:rRNA from 1 species